rnacentral:rRNA from 1 species
GACGAACGCUGGCGGCGUGCCUAACACAUGCAAGUCGAGCGGGAAUUCAUAGACUGAUUUCUUCGGAAUGAUGAUUAUGAAGGAGAGCGGCGGACGGGUGAGUAACGCGUGAGUAACCUGCCUUCAGGAGGGGGACAACACUUCGAAAGGGGUGCUAAUACCGCAUGAUAUACAUUUAAGGCAUCUUAGAUGUAUCAAAGAUUUUANCGCCUGAAGAUGGACUCGCGUCUGAUUAGCUAGUUGUGGGUAAAGCCUACAAGGCGACGAUCAGUAGCCGAACUGAGAGGUUGAUCGGCCACAUUGGGACUGAGACA